AGCCUUUCUAUUUAUAGAUGGUUUCAUAGACACUUUUAAAAAUACAACCUGAAUUUGGCUCCAGUAACUUGGCGUUGGUUAUUUUAGGUUCUACGUGGAUUUUAUUUUUAGUGGUGCAGAAUGAUUUCUAAAGCAUUCAGCUGGAAUAACAGAAGAAGGCAACAGAUGGUUUUGGGAAACAUCAGGCUCCUUACUUUGCAGAGAAUGGCUGCAAGGAAAUGGAAGUUUCUCUUCAGCUGUGAUACUCAUUCUCUUAGAGGGCUCUGAAAAAAGGAUAAGGAAACAGCUCCCAUCAUCGUCUCCCGAGAGUCGGCACUCAUUUUGGUUGCUCCUGUGGUCUGGGACGCCAAGGCCUGGCUCCCUUGCGGGUGGGGCGUAGAGAAGAAGCCCUGCCAUACGCAGGAGUGAAAGGUUCCUUAGCAGAUCCAGCCUCACGUUUCCACCUAACACCAGGAGAACCAGAUGGAGCCUUGACAUCAACGCUGGCGGGUUCGCCCUUGUUCAGAAGAAUCUAAGGUGACACCAUGAGGACGCUAAUUCACGCAGUGGUGGUUAAUUAGGCUUAGGGCGCCGGGCACGGUGGCUCACGCCUGUAAUCCCAACACUCUGGGAGGCCGAGGCAGGUGGAUCACAAGGUCAGGCGAUCGAGACCAUCCUGGUCAACAUUGUGAAACCCCGUUUCUACUAAAAAUACAAAAAAUUAGCUGGGCAUGGUGGCACGUGCCUGUAGUCCCAGCUACUCAGGAGGCUGAGGGAGGAGAAUUGCCUGAACCCAGGAGGCGGAAGUUGUGGUGAGCCGGGACCUCGCCAUUGCACUCCAGCCUGGGUAACAAGAGCAAAACUCCAUCUCAAAAAAAAAAAAAAAUAGGCUUAGGGCUCUGACAUGAUGCAGGUCCCAUUAUAGACAAGUCUCUGGCCACAAGUCCUUGAAGAGGGAUGGAUUCUCAGAAAGCCAUUUGGCAUCCUGGUAUUGCCCGUGGACGUGAAACCCAAGGGUAACUGGGAUUCCCUGGGUGCUCUCCCAGAGCAUCUGGCCCCAUCCUAUUCUCUUUCAGCGUCUUCCAUCUGCCAUCUUCCCUCCUUCAGGGGCUCAUUUUCAGAAUUUUCCAUUGACAUUCCUCACACGUUUGUCGCUUGAAGGAGUAACCUUCGUUUAUAUGUAACAUUCAAUUAAGUAAGCACUCUCAUUGCAUGAAAGAGGCUUUACUGUGUGCACAGAUUUGAUUAGGAGCAAUUUAUGACUUUGUGACAUUCAUAUGAAUAAGCUAACUUGGACCAAAAUGUUAACAGGAGGGAAUGACUUCCCCAUCUCUCUCCUCCAU
rnacentral:lncRNA from 1 species